GAUGAACGCUGGCGGCGUGCCUAAUACAUGCAAGUCGAGCGAACAGACGAGGAGCUUGCUCCUCUGACGUUAGCGGCGGACGGGUGAGUAACACGUGGAUAACCUACCUAUAAAACUGGGAUAACUUCGGGAAACCGGAGCUAAUACCGGAUAAUAUAUUGAACCGCAUGGUUCAAUAGUGAAAGACGGUUUUGCUGUCACUUAUAGAUGGAUCCGCGCCGCAUUAGCUAGUUGGUAAGGUAACGGCUUACCAAGGCAACGAUGCGUAGCCGACCUGAGAGGGUGAUCGGCCACACUGGAACUGAGACACGGUCCAGACUCCUACGGGAGGCAGCAGUAGGGAAUCUUCCGCAAUGGGCGAAAGCCUGACGGAGCAACGCCGCGUGAGUGAUGAAGGUCUUCGGAUCGUAAAACUCUGUUAUUAGGGAAGAACAAAUGUGUAAGUAACUAUGCACGUCUUGACGGUACCUAAUCAGAAAGCCACGGCUAACUACGUG
rnacentral:rRNA from 1 species